UCAGUGUGUGUGUUAGUGGAAGCGUCUGGAAAGGCGCGCGAUACAGGGUGACAGCCCCGUACACAAAAAUGCACAUGCUGUGAGCUCGAUGAGUAGGGCGGGACACGUGGUAUCCUGUCUGAAUAUGGGGGGACCAUCCUCCAAGGCUAAAUACUCCUGACUGACCGAUAGUGAACCAGUACCGUGAGGGAAAGGCGAAAAGAACCCCGGCGAGGGGAGUGAAAAAGAACCUGAAACCGUGUACGUACAAGCAGUGGGAGCACGCUUAGGCGUGUGACUGCGUACCUUUUGUAUAAUGGGUCAGCGACUUAUAUUCUGUAGCAAGGUUAACCGAAUAGGGGAGCCGAAGGGAAACCGAGUCUUAACUGGGCGUUAAGUUGCAGGGUAUAGACCCGAAACCCGGUGAUCUAGCCAUGGGCAGGUUGAAGGUUGGGUAACACUAACUGGAGGACCGAACCGACUAAUGUUGAAAAAUUAGCGGAUGACUUGUGGCUGGGGGUGAAAGGCCAAUCAAACCGGGAGAUAGCUGGUUCUCCCCGAAAGCUAUUUAGGUAGCGCCUCGUGAAUUCAUCUCCGGGGGUAGAGCACUGUUUCGGCAAGGGGGUCAUCCCGACUUACCAACCCGAUGCAAACUGCGAAUACCGGAGAAUGUUAUCACGGGAGACACACGGCGGGUGCUAACGUCCGUCGUGAAGAGGGAAACAACCCAGACCGCCAGCUAAGGUCCCAAAGUCAUGGUUAAGUGGGAAACGAUGUGGGAAGGCCCAGACAGCCAGGAUGUUGGCUUAGAAGCAGCCAUCAUUUAAAGAAAGCGUAAUAGCUCACUGGUCGAGUCGGCCUGCGCGGAAGAUGUAACGGGGCUAAACCAUGCACCGAAGCUGCGGCAGCGACGCUUAUGCGUUGUUGGGUAGGGGAGCGUUCUGUAAGCCUGCGAAGGUGUGCUGUGAGGCAUGCUGGAGGUAUCAGAAGUGCGAAUGCUGACAUAAGUAACGAUAAAGCGGGUGAAAAGCCCGCUCG
rnacentral:rRNA from 1 species